UCCCAUGUGGUCUAGUGGUUAGGAUACCAGGCUCUCAGUCAGGCGGCCCGGGUUCGAUUCCCGGCAUGGGAA